GGCACCGCACUGGGGCACCAGUGUCACCCUGUCACAGGCACCGCACUGGGGCACCAGUGUCACCCUGUCACACACCCCAAACCUGGGCACUGGUGUCACACUGUCACAGACACCAAACCUGAGCACCAGUGUCACCCUGUCACGGACACCGAACCCAGGUACUGAUGGCACCCUGCUACAGACAAGAAACAGACUUUUUGUUCAUAAAAGGCAUGGAUCUACAGAGGAGAUUGGUUCGAAACAAACUGUCUCCUAACAAUUAUCCCAGGAUCUUGCAGAUGCUGGAAUACACUGUUAGCCACUCAAAGCAACCCCCUAAAAACAAAAAGUUAAGUCUAAGGGCGUGUUCCUUACAGGCAAAAUGCAAUGAGAGGCUGCAUGAGCAAAUCAGGUUGUAGGUGCUUCUGUCUAUUGAAGAUUAUAUUGCACACUGACCUCAGGCAGUUCUGAUGUGUAAAAGAGCUAAUGAGAUCGCUCUGACUGCAUUCAGGCAGUUUGGAGCAGCUAAAAUAAAUCAUUAGGAGGUAUAAAAUAUAACAGUCUUUUUAAGUAAAAAUUCUGGGCCAAGGUAACACAUGAAAUUUCUAUUUGCAGCAGGAGCUGAUGUAGCAAUCUCAGUGUACACCUGGACCAGGAGAGCUGAGAAAACCAUGGUUCAUAUUUCCAGGUACACCUUCCUUCCCUCAACCUGUAGGGCAGGACCAUAUUGCACUUAUUGUGAGAGGACAAAAAAAAAGGCAUAUAAACUUAAACACAUGCUUUAAUCUGUUUAAAUUAAGAUUUACUCCUAGGUAUCAGCUCUGUGGAAGAACCUUGCAAAUCUCACAGAGAGCCAGCGAGCAAAAAAUGCUCUUGCGUGGAAGAUAACCUGUGACCAAAGAGACAAAGGAAUUUUGCACAUUCCAUCCUUGCGUGCUAGCACUGUGCACCUCUGAGAACUGUCGGGUACACCCUACCACGGAUGGAGCUGAAGACAGCAAUAAAGGUGUAAUACACGUGGCUGAUGUGAAAAUACACUUAUUACCAAGAAAAAGGGAGCUACAAUACGUUUUAUAGAAGAAUGAGUAGCUAGAUUGUCUGGCAUGAAGAAAAAGUUAAUCAAUGGUAAAUUUAAACUUACCAUUUUCAAAAUCUGUUACAUGUCCUCUUGCAGCACAAACCUGGCAAUAUUUUGUCAGGAAACAAACCAGAAAGAAUUACGGGGCGCUUCCUCACUCAAAUAAUGCAUUAAGUGAUUACUUCUAAGCAGGUAAAUUGACAGACCUACCGAAAGCUCUAGAUAACAUCUCAGUUUACAUGCCUGGUGUGAUUAAGUGGGCCAACCAUCCUAUCUGAUAUUUUAUAAUACACAUGUAAGACUCGAAAAGAGAUCUACCAGUGAAUCAUUGAGUACUCCCCUUUAAUGGUCUAACAACAGAGUAGGAUUGACAUAAUUUCAAAGAGAUCAAUGAACAUUUUAGCCAGAAGCUUACUUGUGUCUAAUGCAGGAGCAAUAACUUUGCUCCACUCUAUUAUUCUGUCAGUGCUGUCUGUACAGAAUGCCCUGCCCUUAAACUCAUCUGCCACUGGGAUACAAUCCAAUGUUUAUUUCCAUUAGUUUAGCCAUUGUUGGUAACAAUAAAAAUCGGGAGACAGUUGCAAACUAAUGAUUUACAGGUAGAAUAAAACACGGGACGACCUUGGCUGCCUUCCAUCCACCAAGAAAAUGACUGGUAGUUAGAAAUAAAUUAAAGUCAUUGCAAGAGGAUAGCAUACGUUAUUUCUCCAAUAGGUAAUUUUACCAGCUAAAUAGCCCUGUCAUUAAACUAGCAGCUGUUUUACAAAUUAUAUUCCAAGAUAAAAAAAGAAAUUACACCUUCCACAGUUGUUGCAGUGUUAAGAAUGAUGAAAAUCCCAGUCCUAUAGGAGCUGACAGAAAAGGAGCUCUGAUGUGGUAAGGCUGAACACAUACUCUUGGCUGGGCUGUACUCAGCUGAAUUACUCUUAUGAAAGUUAAAGAGAAAAGAUCAGGUAAGUAUAUCCAUUAUCGCAAAUAGAAAUUCCUUUACAGGUGAUUCCAGAAGAAAAAAAGCAAUCUCCCCUGACUGGAAUUUGUAGUUAAUGAAACUUUAGAACUCUGUUUUGCAAUUUAAGUUAUUCUGAUAAAACAAAACCAUCAGCAAUAUACUCUGCAUAUUUUUGACAGUGACUGCAGUGAGACUUCUUUUCCUUUGACCUUUACCCAUUUUUAGAAAUCCCUCAUGCUCCAUUCCUGUUUAACAACCUCUUUUUUGGCCAAUGGAGAAUAAAUAAAAAGCAAACUAUUCAAACAGUUGCAGUGGGGUACUACAAAGUGGUGGUCUAUGCAAGUAUAAUUUAUAAAAUAUAUUCUGGUUUUCAGAUGUACAGCUAGCCAAAAAUCAACAUGUGGAAAGAGUUUUCAUGUUUGCAAAAGUACAUCUCCAAUGUCAGUCAGGAAUGGAAAUGUACUUUAUAGUUGUGAUACCCCAUCACUGGUCAAAAAACCCCACAACUGACAAAAGAAAAAGAAUUCAAAAAGAUGAAGGGUGGUUGUAUCUUUCCUGCUUUUAAUAUUUAAAACAGAAAUUCUGGUUUUGUCUGCUCAGUGUUAAGCACCAGUUUCAAAGCAGCAUGGGACUUCUCAGAGAACUGGCCACCAACUAUUUUAAAUCCCAAGCAAAACAGGCUAACUAUUUUUCCCAAUUCCUCUAAUGAAGUAAUUAAUAUUCUGCUUGAAACUUUCAAGAUCGUUUCAUCUGCAGAAUAUGCCAGACCGUGAGAAUUCUAACCCCACUUGCCUGAGCAGCAGCAAAGCAGUAAGAAACUGAACACGGGAUCCCAGAGAAGGAAGCACUGGGAAACCUUUCCAGCAGGAAUGUUCACAGCCCCAUCUCUAAUUAUUAAAGAGAUGCAUAUCACCAGUGUGGUCACAAAGGUGCAGCCCCAGGUGAAGCAGUGCCUGCCUCCACUGCUGGGCUGCAGGGAACCACGGUGACUUGGCUGUUCUGCCCCUGUGGGCCGGCACUGGGGAGGCAACAGGGCAGGGCAGCCCCAGACACUGACAUGCCGUGACAGAGCUGGCACCACACAGACAAGGCAAUCUGGAAUCAAUCCCUCCUGGCUGCUGCUCUGGAUCUGGGCACAGCCAGACUACUGCAGGCAAACCUUCCCUCAAAAACACAGGCAAGCACACUGAAACACCACGGACAAGCAAUCCUUUAAAAAGCUCAGGAAAGAUGAUCAAACGAAAAAGCAAAAACCUGGCAGAAUUUUAGACAUUAAAUACCAUUAGGAGCCAUUUUUCCCAUCAAAUGCUGUACACAACAUUAAUGUGAAUAUUAUAAUGCUGACAACUUGUUCUUGACUGAAUUAUGAAGCUAAUAAUUUACAAAUAAAGGAUGCAAUAUUGUGUCAAUGUCUUAUGUUGCUAACUGCAGCAAAUUAGUAUACUUACCUGGUAUUACAUAGCUGAGACAUUUGUUUGGCAUCAAGUCAGGCCGGUAAGAGGGAUUAGCGUGCUGUCCACUUUCUAUAGACCGUAUUUUUCCACAGCAGAUGACACAUGAAAGCUACAAGAGAACCUGCUCUGUUUUCUCAGAUUUACUCCUCUCCCAGUGCAGUGUUUCUUUGUGUUUGAUGUACAGGGUGUUACAACCAUCAGAGUUUGGAUUCAGGGCUAAUCUGGUCAGACAUUCAGGAGUACCUGGCUCAGAAUGGAGAGCAGCAAGAGCUGCUCCUGAACCCUACCUGAGAUAAUGAGCCCACCUUUACUCAGACUAUGAAACAAUAAUACCAAAAACUGUUUAGAGAUUGAGGGUGUUAUCUGGCUGUAUAACAAAGUUCCUAAAAACAAAUGUUUUAAAAUUCAUGAUUGUCAAGAACGUUAGUAUGGUCUGACAGACAAAAUACUGCGCUGGUUCUCAAAAAAUCACCAAUUUGCUUAGGUUUGGUCAAAGAAUAGUAUUUCCCUUGUAAAAUGGGGUGUAUACCAUUUACCUGGCAAUUUCACAACCAUGACAGAAUCCCAAAUCACUAAAUACCAUUGUGCAAAUACCAUCGUGCAAAGGUGUUAUGAAGAGGACUGCAGUUUUGCCACCAAAGACACCUAUAUAGUUGGCACCCAAUAAUUUUUGGCAGAAGCCAAGCCUAAGGUUUAGAAAUUUGUUAUGGUGAAUAUGACAGACUCAAAAUUAGCGUUAUGAAAUGACACACUGUCUACAGUUCUUCCUAAUGCAUCACACAGACAAGGCAAUUCACCACCACCAGGAGUUCAUUGCAGAAUCCUAGGCUGAGAUCCAGGAGAUCUGGACCUAAAUCUAAAAAGCCAGUUGGGGACCUAAAUAUUGAUGGGUUUGUAUCUUAAAAGUACCUGCCAUAAGCCAGGAGUGGAAGCUAGAAAUCCUCAGGAUUUAUUUGGACUGCAUCUCAUAGUUACCCUUUCAACUGAAACAAGAAGUAAAUCACCCGGGGAUCAUUCUGUUGUGGUCUAAUGGUCUCCUCAACACUCACCUAUCCUGAGCCUCGACAUCUAUCCCUGGUUUCUACUUUAAAGCAAAUUAGUCAAGAACUCAUUUGCAUAAGACAAAUGGCAAAACCUCCUGGCUCAUUGCCCCAAAAAAUGGUUUUACACCUAUAUGUAAAUAUAUUCAUUUGAGAUAUUUCAAACUUUACCUUCCCCUAUCUCUAGACUGAAUCACUGAACAUUUUGGGGGCCUGGGAAGGAUCUUAAAUCUUGACUUGCUUCCAGGAACUGGAAGCUUCUACUGCAACAUUUUGAACUUGCCAAGAGUCUCUGACUGACCUACAGGGAAGCCGCCUUCUGCAUUCAAAGCAGGGAAAUUCAUUAGUUUUUAACUGCACAUACUUUUCCUAGGAAUACUAGCUGCAGUCUCCAACAAUGGCUUUUGUAUGUUAGUACUAUGUCAAGCUAGCUGUACUCAUUCAAUAAAUUACAUACCGGAACCAUU